rnacentral:lncRNA from 1 species
AUCUAAAGACAACCUAGUAUACCUUUCUCCCCCCAAAGCAGCAUCUGAUUACAUGGACUUUACUGAUCUGCACUGAAUGACGAUAAACUCCUGAACUAAUGACUCGAUCUGUUUUUUGCGUAUUGCACGAAAGCCGAACCAUUUCCACUAUUGUCUACACCUUUAUUAAACAGACUGUACAUAGAGAUAUUCAGUGGCCAGUGCUCCAUAUGAGAAUUUUUUGCCACAAGAGUGCUCUUGUCCAUUAUUUGAGUGUUCAGAUAUUUUUUCAAGUGACAGUAAUUGCUUUCAUACAUUCAUCC